rnacentral:ncRNA from 1 species
CUGUUUUGAUCCUAGAUAUUAUAUUGCUUAUAAUUAUAAUCAUACAUGCUAGCCUCCACACACCUGUGAGUCACGCCCCCCCCCCCGGAGCCGGUAUCAGGCACACCAUAUAAGGUAGCCCAAAACACCACGCCUUGCCACCCCCCCACUGGGCCACAGCAGUAGUAAACCCUAAGCAAUAAGCCAUGAAAUACUUGACUUGGUAAUAAUUGUACCCUGGGCCGGUAAACCACGUGCCAGCCACCGCGGUUAUACGAGGGGCCCAAAACAAUAUACUUCGGCGUAAAAUGUGACGAAAGGCUAAUUAAAGGUUGAGCGCAAAGCCCAAUAAAGUUGUAAAAUACACAGUAUACUAGGCACACCAUAUGCCCUCACUUACCAACCCCUAUGACCUCACGAAAGCUGGGGCCCAAACUAGGAUUAGAUACCCUACUAUGCCCAGUCGUAAACUAUGAUGCCACAAACAUCCGCCAGAGAAUUAUAAUCCACCAGCUUGAAACUCAAAGGACUUGACAGUAUCUCACACACACCUAGAGGAGCCUGUCCUAUAAUCGAUAACCCACGCUACACCUCACCUGCCUUUGCACCAAUCAGCCUAUAUACCUCCGUCGCCAGUACGCCUGCUAACAGCUACCAAAGCGCAUAAACCAGCCAACCCGCUCACACGACAGGUCAAGGUGUAGCUAAUGGGCUGGACAGAGAUGGGCUACAUUUUCCUCGCUAGAAAAUACCAAACGUGCCAUGCAAACAGCACCACAAGGCGGAUUUAGCAGUAAAACAGGCAAGAUAUGCCCACUUGAAUCUUUCCUUGAGAUGUGU